rnacentral:piRNA from 1 species
CCAUUGUGAGCCAAGCAGUAACUA